UACGUAGGGUGCAAGCGUUGUCCGGAAUUAUUGGGCGUAAAGGGCUCGUAGGCGGUCUGUCGCGUCGGCUGUGAAAACCCGAGGCUCAACCUCGGGCCUGCAGUCGAUACGGGCAAACUAGAGUACUGCAGGGGAGACUGGAAUUCCUGGUGUAGCGGUGAAAUGCGCAGAUAUCAGGAGGAACACCGGUGGCGAAGGCGGGUCUCUGGGCCGAUACUGACGCUGAGGAGCGAAAGCGUGGGGAGCGAACAGG
rnacentral:rRNA from 1 species